UGGGGAAUAUUGCACAAUGGGCGAAAGCCUGAUGCAGCGACGCCGCGUGCGGGAUGAAGGCCUUCGGGUUGUAAACCGCUUUUAAUUGGGAGCAAGCGAGAGUGAGUGUACCUUUUGAAUAAGCACCGGCUAACUACGUGCCAGCAGCCGCGGUAAUACGUAGGGUGCAAGCGUUAUCCGGAAUUAUUGGGCGUAAAGAGCUCGUAGGCGGUUUGUCACGCCUGGUGUGAAAGUCCAUCGCUUAACGGUGGAUCUGCGCCGGGUACGGGCAGGCUAGAGUGCAGUAGGGGAGAUUGGAAUUCCCGGUGUAACGGUGGAAUGUGUAGAUAUCGGGAAGAACACCAAUGGCGAAGGCAGAUCUCUGGGCUGUUACUGACGCUGAGGAGCGAAAGCAUGGGGAGCGAACAGGAUUAGAUACCCUGGUAGUCCAUGCCGUAAACGGUGGAUGCUGGAUGUGGGGCC
rnacentral:rRNA from 1 species